AUUGAACGCUGGCGGCAGGCCUAACACAUGCAAGUCGAACGGAGCGGCGGACGGGUGAGUAAUGCCUAGGAAUCUGCCUGGUAGUGGGGGAUAACGUCCGGAAACGGGCGCUAAUACCGCAUACUAUCAGAUGAGCCUAGGUCGGAUUAGCUAGUUGGUGGGGUAAAGGCCUACCAAGGCGACGAUCCCUAGCUGGUCUGAGAGGAUGACCAGCCACACUGGAACUGAGAUGCGGCCCAGAUUCCUACGGGAGGCAGCAGUGGGGAAUAUUGCACAAUGGGCGCAAGACUGAUGCAGCCAGGCCGCGUGGAUGAAGAAGGCCUUCGGGUUGUAAAGUACUUUCAGCGGGGAGGCGUUGCCCGCAGAAGAAGCACCGGCUAACUCCGUGCCAGCAGCCGCGGGAAUAC
rnacentral:rRNA from 1 species